UAAAGUCAAUGUAAGCGGGCGCUGUCGUCGUCCAAUUCCAAAGUCAUUCGACCACCAAAGAGACAUGAUGCUCAACGUGGUGUUUAGAAUACAACGUUUUUCAGAAAAAAAAGAUGAAAAAGUCGCCACCUUUGCUGCGUUUCGACACCGGAAGUCCACCAGGUGGAUGAAGUGAAGGAGCCAAAAUGGCGUCGCGUACACUGAUGCCUUCAGGGAACAUGGGAGCAUUGACUUUCAAAAGGAGAUCAGCUGAGCUUGUGCCGCCCAUGAAGCUGACGUCGACUUCCCUGAGACACUGCGCGUCAACACACCCGUGGACACACACCUCCAACUAUCAGG